rnacentral:snoRNA from 1 species
UCCCUCCAGAUUCCUUACCGUUCAGAACGAAAUAUUGGUCUGUGUGGUUUUUUAAAAAGGACAAAAGUAAAACUGAAAUGGGCUUGGAGUCCUUAAUGACAUACAAGUUCAUUUCAAAUAUAU